rnacentral:rRNA from 1 species
AUUGAACGCUGGCGGCAGGCCUAACACAUGCAAGUCGAACGAGUGGCGGACGGGUGAGUAAUGUCUGGGAAACUGCCUGAUGGAGGGGGAUAACUACUGGAAACGGUAGCUAAUACCGCAUACCAUCAGAUGUGCCCAGAUGGGAUUAGCUAGUAGGUGGGGUAACGGCUCACCUAGGCGACGAUCCCUAGCUGGUCUGAGAGGAUGACCAGCCACGCUGGAACUGAAACACGGUCCAGACUCCUACGGGAGGCAGCAGUGGGGAAGAUUGGGCAAUGGGCAAAAGCCUGAUCCAGCCAUGCCGCGUGUGUGAAGAAGGUCUUCGGAUUGUAAAGCACUUUAAGUUGGGAGGCGUUACCAACAGGAUAAGCACCGGCUAACUUCGUGCCAGCAGCCGCGGUAAUAG